rnacentral:snRNA from 1 species
GGGGCGCAACGCCCUCGACCUAUUCU